CCCAAGGUGGGUGGAUCGCUUGAGCCCAGGAGUUCAAGACCAGCCUGGGCAACAUGAUGCUGAAGAAUACCAGCCUCCAAUAUGGAAAUCAUACUUAUAUCAGUUACAGCAAGAGGCACCUCGUCCCAAGAGAAUCAUUUGUCCUCGGGAGGAGGAAAUGAGACAGGAAGCACAAGAGGGGCAAAGGCCAGAUUCCAACCCAGACAGUUCAUAUCCAUGGCUGGGCUUCUAAUCCAGUGAGUCACAGAGUGUGAUCCCAGCAUCAGCUGGGAACAGAAAUUUAACAGCAGCAUUAGUUUUGCCUUGAUUUGAUUUGAUUCUAUUGGGUACUUCAAGCUCUUUGGGCUUAAAAGGUGGAAAACAGACCAAAAUAUUAUGGAAGAGAGUUUCACGGGAUCAUCUCCCGGGAGCAGGCGGAUGAGCUUCUUGGAGGCGUGGAGGGUGCCUACAUCCUUAGAGAAAGCCAGCGGCAACCAGGAUGCUACACGCUGGCUCUGA
rnacentral:sRNA from 1 species